UACGUAGGAUGCAAGCGUUGUCCGGAUUUACUGGGCGUAAAGCGCGCGCAGGCGGCAUUGUAAGUAUGAGGUGAAAUCCCACUGCUCAACGGAGGGGGUGCCUUGUAGACUGCAAAGCUAGAGAACGGUAGAGGGGGGUAGAAUUGCUGGUGUAGCGGUGAAAUGCGUAGAGAUCAGCAGGAAUACCCGUGGCGAAGGCGGCCCCCUGGGCCGUUACUGACGCUGAGGCGCGAAGGCUAGGGGAGCGAACGGG
rnacentral:rRNA from 1 species